rnacentral:rRNA from 1 species
CCUACGGGUGGCUGCAGUGGGGGAUAUUGCACAAUGGGGGAAACCCUGAUGCAGCGACGCCGCGUGAAGGAAGAAGUAUUUCGGUAUGUAAACUUCUAUCAGCAGGGAAGAAAAUGACGGUACCUGACCAAGAAGCCCCGGCUAACUACGUGCCAGCAGCCGCGGUAAUACGUAGGGGGCAAGCGUUAUCCGGAUUGACUGGGUGUAAAGGGGGCGUAGGCGGCGAUGCAAGUCAGAAGUGAAAGCCCGGGGCCCAACUCCGGGACUGCUUUUGAAACUGUGUUGCUAGAUUGCAGGAGAGGUAAGUGGAAUUCCUAGUGUAGCGGUGAAAUGCGUAGAUAUUAGGAGGAACACCAGUGGCGAAGGCGGCUUACUGGACUGUAAAUGACGCUGAGGCUCGAAAGCGUGGGGAGCAAACAGGAUUAGAUACCCCAGUAGUC